rnacentral:tRNA from 1 species
GGGGUUGUGGCUCAGUGGUAGAGUGCUUGCCUAGCAUGUAUGGGGCACUGGGUUCCAUUCUCAGCACCA